rnacentral:lncRNA from 10 species
GCAGUGGCAACCUACUCGGGUCCCCUUCCACACUGUGGAAGCUUUGUUCUUUCGCUCUGCAAUAAAUCUUGCUACUGCUCACUCUUUGGGUCCACACUGCUUUUAUGAGCUGUAACACUCACUGCGAAGGUCUGCAGCUUCACUCCUGAGCCAGCGAGACCAUGAACCCACCAGAAGGAAAAAACUCCGAACACAGCCGAACAUCAGAAGGAACAAACUCCAGACGUGCCACCUCAAGAGAUGUAACACUCACCGCAAGGGUCCGCGGCUUCAUUCUUGAAGUCAGUGAGACCAAGAACCCACCAAUUCCGGACACACUAGGGAAGCCUGAAAAAGACCCUCUUAAUUUGGCAAGAAACCAUGUUGAAGUUGAUUCCUGGUUAAUGACUGGAAGAAAAACUUCCAUGCAAUGAGGAGAAGCAACAAAAGGGAGAAAUUCAAUUGAAAAAAAGAAUAUAGUUAGCAAUGAACAAGAAGCAAGUGUCCUCUCACCAACACAGCUGACUCUGGUAACCACAAACCUCAGCUAAACCCAGAAGUCAAGAGCUGUCACUUAAGUUUUGUUUCAUUUCUGAGUGAAACCCUUCUAAGACUUUAUUACAUGCAAUGCCAUGGAUUAAUGUCAUAGACAUAAUGUUAAAUGAAAGACGUACUGUAUGAUCCCAUUUACAUGAUGUUCAAGGACAGACAAAAAUAAUCUAUGGUAAUAAAAGAAUUGUGGUUCCCUUGUGGGGGUGAAGAUGUACUGUAUGAUCCCAUUUACAUGACGUUCAAGGACAGACAAAAAUAAUCUAUGGUAGUAAAGGAAUUGUGGUUCCCUUUUUGGAGUGGGGGUGGUAGGUAAUUGACUCAAAGGGGACAUGAAGGAACUUUCUGGAAUGAUGGAAAUGCUCUGUAUCUUGAUCUGGGUGGUAGUUAUACAGACAGGGGCAUACACAUAUAAGUAUUCAUUGAACUGUAUGCAUAGAGUUGCAUUUUAUUCUGUGAUGUUAUUCUUCAAUUAAAUAAACAAAAACAAAACUUUUCUAUGGAUUCUCAUUAUUCCAGGGACAAAGAUAAGAAUUCUUCAUGUGGGCAAUGGACCCUUACUGAUUCUGACCUUUGCCUGCCUUUCCAUCUUGCACUUCACUUCCCUAAGCUCCUCCUUGGUUCUUCCUAUGUCUGGCACACUUGCCAAACUCCCUGGCCAUGCAAUCAACCUCAGCACAUGAUAUGUUUCCUGUGUGGGAUGUUAUUCUUCCCCGU